rnacentral:rRNA from 1 species
CUGCCUGAUGGAGGGGGAUAACUACUGGAAACGGUAGCUAAUACCGCAUAACGUCGCAAGACCAAAGAGGGGGACCUUCGGGCCUCUUGCCAUCGGAUGUGCCCAGAUGGGAUUAGCUAGUAGGUGGGGUAACGGCUCACCUAGGCGACGAUCCCUAGCUGGUCUGAGAGGAUGACCAGCCACACUGGAACUGAGACACGGUCCAGACUCCUACGGGAGGCAGCAGUGGGGAAUAUUGCACAAUGGGCGCAAGCCUGAUGCAGCCAUGCCGCGUGUAUGAAGAAGGCCUUCGGGUUGUAAAGUACUUUCAGCGGGGAGGAAGGGAGUAAAGUUAAUACCUUUGCUCAUUGACGUUACCCGCAGAAGAAGCACCGGCUAACUCCGUGCCAGCAGCCGCGGUAAUACGGAGGGUGCAAGCGUUAAUCGGAAUUACUGGGCGUAAAGCGCACGC